rnacentral:rRNA from 1 species
GACGAACGCUGGCGGCGUGCUUAACACAUGCAAGUCGAACGGAAAGGCCCUGCUUUUGUGGGGUGCUCGAGUGGCGAACGGGUGAGUAACACGUGAGUAACCUGCCCUUGACUUUGGGAUAACUUCAGGAAACUGGGGCUAAUACCGGAUAGGAGCUCCUGCUGCAUGGUGGGGGUUGGAAAGUUUCGGCGGUUGGGGAUGGACUCGCGGCUUAUCAGCUUGUUGGUGGGGUAGUUGCUUACCAAGGCUGUGACGGGUAGCCGGCCUGAGAGGGUGACCGGCCACAUUGGGACUGAGAUACGGCCCAGACUCCUACGGGAGGCAGCAGUGGGGAAUAUUGCACAAUGGGCGGAAGCCUGAUGCAGCAACGCCGCGUGCGGGAUGACGGCCUUCGGGUUGUAAACCGCUUUCGCCUGUGACGAAGCGUGAGUGACGGUAAUGGGUAAAGAAGCACCGGCUAACUACGUG